GGGCCCGACCGGAUUUGACAGCGGGACGAGGUGGUGCGUAAGCACGCAGUGCGCCUGAGGGUGGGCACUUUAAUAUCGGCCUUCAACAAUUUAACUGGCGAAAACAAUUAUGCUCUCGCUGCUUGAUCGAAGUAUAGUACAUCAAAGCUUUAUCCGUUCACGGCGUGAGCGGACGAGACAUCACUCCGAAGCUCUUUUUCCGAAGCUCGCGGGCAUAGUGGUGCAGACAAAUCGGGAAUAGUUGCGAUUGGCCUCGCAAGCGCGGCGAAAAUUUAGAGGAUAAGGUGGCGUAAGAGUUGCUCUGCACUCAGCGUUGCUCGAAAACAAUGGCAGAGAUAAGCGUGUAGAAAGCGUAUGAUUUCCCCGUUUGGACGAGGGUUCGAUCCCCUCCGGGUCCACGC
rfam:Prevotella tannerae ATCC 51259 genomic scaffold Scfld0, whole genome shotgun sequence.